CACACUUUCCCUACCCUACGUCAGUGAACAGUGCAGACAGUGGGAAGAGCAAGACAACUGGUUCUGUUAGCAGAAUCAGCAAGACACCUGGGAACAGAAGACCUUAAACACAGUGAGUUAAUUUUUUAAAAAAAAUAUGAGAAGGCAGAAAAAUACUGCACAAAUGAAGGAAUAACCUAGAAACACACAGUCCAAAUAAAUGAAGAAGAAACAGGGGUCUCACGAAUUCCGCU
rnacentral:sRNA from 1 species